AACGCUCACGGCAUGACUUUGCUGCUGCAAAGGACCAAAACACCAGAACCACAACUCCACUUGUGCUUC
rnacentral:RNase_MRP_RNA from 1 species